GUUCCUUCGUACAGCACUGUUCGGUGUCCGUAUCCGCUACCUUCGCCUGCUCGCCACUGACCUAGGAAAAGGGCAAGGUUUCAGCGUCCUGGUCCUCUCUCCACCCUCAUUCUCGCGUCGACCUUGAUUUCAUUUGGAGGGUGAUUCGGCCGAACUCCAUCUCAGAUGCAGCUCAAUCCUUGUGCGGGUUCCCAAGGGGCACCAUCGUUAGUGAAAUAGUGGGAGAAGCGAGGAUCACCGCACACCUUUGAGAUGCUUUCUUGGGGAUUUAUGACCUCAAGGCUUAUACUUGAGAAAAAAACCCUAAGAUGCAGAUUUGUGGAUUUCUUUACGGCAACAACUCGUUGAUCUGAUAAAAUUCCUUUGUAAACUUCUCCAUGCCCUCCGCGACCAACCAAGCGAGUUUCAUGAAAAUUGUUUGUUGCUUUUUCUAUCUCUUCCAGUGCAAAUAAUUUAGUUCUCUCAGCAUCAUGUUCGCUUGUAGAGAUCAGUUGUUUCAGCAAUAAACCAUGAUUCUGGUGAAAGUUCUUUUCUCUUAUUUGCUUUUGCAUUCUUUCCUUCCAUUUCUUACUUAGGAUGACCAACAUUAUGCACAGGAGCAAUAGGCACACAUUGCUUGCAGCGAUGAUGAGAACUGCACCAUAUACAAGAAUAUUAAAUUUCAUAAGUCUCUUAUAUUUGAUGAUACCUAUGAUGAACUACAUGUUACAACAGUCUACCUUUGUGUCUUUUAAUGGUGAGAACUACAUUGCUUGCACUUUGUUUUCAAUUUUUUUUCUGUUACAAUUGAUUUGAUCACACGGUUUAUAUAUUCUCAAGUUUCAAGGACUUACCUAACAUAAUGGUUCUCUUCUUAGUAUGAGGGAUGCACUCUCCGAUCUUUGGAUCACCAAAGGUUCCUGGUUCACACGUGCAAUUGUAACUGCCCUCUGUAUUGGCACAAAUCCCCUUGCAAGUAUAUUUAGUUGAAUUGCCGCACUCAUUGAUAUCUAAAGAACAACAAAAACAUAGGUGAGUUAAUUAUGCACACCAAUACCAUAAAAACAAAGCAAUUUUACAUGAAAUCAAUUAAUAAAAACUUAUUUGACAAUGGAGUUACAAUUUAUGUUUUGCACUUAUAGCUAUUUUUUCCCAAAAAGUUUACUGAAAUUGGAGAUAUAAGCCUAAUUUAGCAAGAAAUAUAUUACUCACCUUGCCUAGUUAAGACAUCAGAUUCUCUUCUAAACCUUUUUUUAACGCUGGAUGAGGUCCCUCAAAUCUACGCUAUAGCUUUUGAACCAAAUUAUUAAUUUUUUUAGAUUGUAAUAUAUAUUUUGAGAAUGGUCAUAUGUACUUACAUUCUAGUGGAUUGAUGUAGCUGAUGAGCAAGAAAAUAAAUGUAAUUUGUCGCCCUUUUGAUAUUUUUUGUUACCAUAUCUUGUAGUAGUAGUAGUACUUUGAAUUCCAUUUGUUGAUUUAUUAAUAUUUGUCAGUCCACUUGGGACAUCAUUUUUUAUGACAGUCUUGUACAGAACUUGAACAUGGGUGUAUUUGAUGACGAACUUGAUUAUGAUGAUGAUGAAAUUGUUGAUACGGAUGGAGGUUAGUUUUGUUAUUGCUUGGCAUGUUAAGAGCAACAUUUUAUGUAUUAUCUCUUCUAUAUAUCCUUGUUUAGUGUCAGGAAACAACGCCCAUGUCUCUAUAUGAAACUAUUGGUUGAUUA